AUCGGAAUCAAGAUGUCAACAGACUUGGUUCUCUCUAACGGCUGCGAGUGAGAGUUUGUUCCAUGACUCCUGCCCAGCUUCUGCCAAUUUGGCGACAGCCUUGGAAUUCGCUGGCAUGGAGAAGCAUCACCCCAGUUUCUGCCUUCAUCUUCACAUGAACCUGAGAAGUCCAAGAUCAAGGUGCUGCAGAUCUGGUGUUUGAGGAAAGUCAUCUUCCUGGUUUGCAGGGUGAGAACCAACUUCAUAAGCAUCCCAUAAAAGACUCUUCAUGAAUUUUCAUCACAAGUGACAGAACUUUGAAAAGAUAACAAAUCUUUAGCUAGACUCAUCAAGAAAAAAAAAGGAGAGGACUCAAAUAAAACCAGAAGUGAAAGAGAUGUUAUAACUGAUACCACAAAAAUAAAAUGGAUCAUAAGUGACUCCUGCGAACAAUUAUACAUCAAUAAAUAACAACCUAGAGGAAGUGGAUAAAUUCCUAGAAACACACAGUCUUCCAAGAUUGAAUCAUGAAGAAACAGAAAAUCUUACUAGUAAGAGAUUAAACCAGUAAUUAAAAACCUCCCCCGAAACAAAAGUCUAGGACUAGAAAGCUUCACUGGUGAAUUCUACCAAACAUUUUAAAAAGAAUUAAUACCAAUUCUUCUCAAAGUCCAAAAAAACAGAAGAGCGAAGAACACUCAAACUUAUUUCACAAGGCCAGCCUUACACUCUGAUACCAAAAUCAGAAAAGGAUACUACAGGAAAAGAAAAUUAUAGCUCAAUAUCCCUGAUGAAUAUAGAUGCAAAAAUCCUCAGUAAAAUCUUCGCAAAUUUAACAACACAUUCAAAGGAUAAUUCAGUACAAUCAAGUUGGAUUUAUUCCGGGGAUGCAAGGAUUGUUCAACAUCCACAAAUCAAUGAAUGUGACACACCACAUUAAUAAAUUGAAAGAUAAAAAAUAAUAUCAUCUCAAUAGAUAUAGAAAAAGCAUUUGGCAAAAUUCAACAUCCAUUUAUGAUAAAAACUCUCAGCAAAUAGGUAUAGAGGGAAUGUAUCUCAAUAUAAUAAAGUCCGGAUGUGACAAGCCCACAGCUAACCUCUAACUCAAUGGGAGAAGAUAUUUGCAAGUCAUAUAUCAGAUAAGAGGUUAAUAUCCAAAAUAUAUAAACUCAUACAACUCAACAGCAAAGACCACAAACAAUCUGAUUAAAAAAUGGGCAGAAAAUAUGAAUGUUAUUUUUGCAAAGAAUAUAUACAGAUAGCCAACGGGUACAUGAAAAGAUGCUCGAUAUCACUAAUUGUCUGGGAAAAUCUAAUUAACCAUAAGAAACCAUCACCUGACACAUGUUAGAAUGGCUAUUAUCAAAAAGACAAGAAAUAACAAGUGUUGGCAAGGAUGUUAAGAAAAGAGAACUCUUGUGCACUGCUUACGGGAAUGUAAAUUCUAUGAUGUUUCCUCAAAAAGUUAAAAAUUGAACUAUGGUAUGAUCCAGCAACUCCACUUCUGGGUACUUAUCUGAAGGAAAUGAAAACACUAACUUGAAAAUAUAUAUGCACUCCCAUAUUCACUGCAGCAUUAUUUACAAAGUAAUCAUUGAUAGGUGAAUGGAUAAAGAAGAUGUGGUGAGUUUAUACACAACAGACUAUUAUUUAAACGUAAAGAAGAAAGAAAUCUUGCCAUUUUCAACAAUAUGGAUGGACCUUGAGGGUACACUGUUAAGUAAUAAGUUUACAGAAAAAGACAAAUACCAUAUGAUCUCUCUUAUACAUGGAGUCUAAAAAAAACAAAAACAAAAACAAAACUCAUAGACACAGAGAACAGGUCAGUAAUUACCAGAGGCAAGGGGUGGUGCAUGGGCAAAAUGGGUGAAGGGAGUCAAAAGCUACAAACUUCUAGUUAUAAAAUAAGUCAUGGGAACAAUGUGCAGCAUUGUGACUAUAAAUAAUGUCUUCAUCAUAAGAAAAAAUAUUAGUAACUCUAUGGUGACAGAUGUUAACUCAUUGUUCAUUUUGGGAUAUACACAAAUAUCAAAUCAUUAUGUUGUACACCUGAAUCUAAUAUAAUGUUAUAGGUCUAUUAUACCUCAAUAAAAGAAGAAAAAGGGGAAAAAAGGAGAAAAAGGUGACAGAGAAUACUUUUCCAUAUAUUUAUUUCCCAUUUGUAUUUGAUCUCUAAUAAUUGCAUAUUUAUAAACUUUGCCCAUUUUUCAAUUAGGAUGUUUCAUAUAUUACAGACAUUAACCUUUUAACACAUAUGUUGCUGAUACUUUACACUUUGUUACUGGCAUUUUAUAGGGUGUUUUUCAUUACUUUUGAUAACUUUUACUUUUAAAAAUGCUUGAAUCUAUAUUUUUCUAGGUAGCAAUGUCAAGAACAAAAGAUUGAUGCUGAGUCCCUCCUUCAUAAAAGCUGGAAAUUAUCAUAAUUUUACUUUUGUUGACAUCUAGGAUUUCUGUCUCAUCUUGUCAUUGUUAUAUUAUUUUCUUUUUAAAUAUAUUUUCUGUUUAAAAAUUAUAAUUUUCUCUAUGUUACUAUAUUUACUAUAGUCAAUUCUAAUUAAUUAUGUAAAUGGUUUCCAUUCUUUUUGCCCAUUCACUCCUAUAAUGACUUUUCUAACUUGAGAGCUCUAGAUAUUGGUGUGCUGCUCAGUUAACUGGUAAAAAAUCUUCUGGUAACUUUUCAUGAGUAAUAUAAUUUCUGAAUUCUUACAUAUCUGAUAUUUUAUGGUUGUCUUAAUACUUAAAUGACCUUUUGGGUAGGAAUAGAAUUCUUUUUUAAAAAUUUUUCUUAUGUUUUACUUAUUUUUGAGACAGAGGCAGAGCAUGAUGGAGGAAGGGGCAGAGAGAGAGGGAGACACAGAAUCUGAAGCAGGUUCCAGGCUCUGAGCUGUAAGCACAGAGCCUGACAUGGGGCUCGAACCCACGAACUAUGAGAUCAUGACUCGAGCCAAAGUUGGAUGCUUAACUGACUGAGCCACCCAGGCACUCCUGGGUGGGAACAGAAUUCUGACAUCACAAACUUUUUCUUUGAAAACUCCGAAAACACUACUCCUACUCCUUUCUAUUCUGGCAUCUACUAUUAUAGAGAGAGAAGUCUGAGCCCAGUGUGCUGUCAGACUUUGGUAGGUAACCAACUUUUUCUGCCUUGGUGUGUGUGUGUUAGUUUUCACUAGGUAUACUAUAUUAAAACCUCAAGAGCUCAGUGGCUUCAACAACAAAUAUGUAUUUCUCCCUCAUACCACAUGUUGGUGGGCAGGUUCUAUAGAUCUGCUCCAGGUUGCUGGCUGGGUACCCUUCUGCUUCCCUUGUCUUCCCGUUUUAGGAUCCAGGCUAAAGGAACAGCCCCUAUCAGGAAAAUGAACUUUUCCUGGAAAGAGGCCCAGAAGCAACAAAGUUGACAAAACUCUUGAUGUCUCUACAGGUUUCUGACUAAUGGGGUAUAAAUCAGGUUCAUUCAGAUGUUAUUGACCAAAUCCUAGAUAAUUGGAGCAGGAAGGAUACUCUGCCUAAGGAAGGGGAUAGUUAAUAAUUGGGAAUAAUAAUAACAUCUCCCACAUAAUUUAUAGGACUCUUUCUUCAGUAAUAAAAUACAAAAAUUUCACUGAGAAAUACAAUCUAAGUUUUAGUAUAUAUUUUAAUUUUACCUUGUAUCUAGUUAACUCUUCUAGAGUGAAGGUAUUUAUUUGAAGGAAAAGUCUCCUUGAUAUAUAUCUCUGAAUAUUGCUAUACUUCUAUUUGUCCUUUUCUUCUGGAACUACAAUGAUUCAUGUUAGAUUUCUGUAGCAUGUCUUCUGUAUCUGUUAUCUUUUCUCUGGUCAAUUUUAUAUUCUUGUUCUUUUACUACAUAUGCUGAAACCUGUCCUUAAUAUACUGAUAAGUCUUUCUCCAGUGUGGAUUUUGUUCUUUAUGGUUUCUACUAUUGGUUUCCAUUCUGUCAUAAUGUUCUUUGUUUUCUUACAUUAGUUUCCUAAUUGUGCCAUUGUGUCACCUACCUUUCAUCUCUCAUUUCACAUAUUUUCUUUAAUUUCCUUGACAGUGGAAAGAAAAUACUAUUAAUAAUGAAUUUAAAUUUUUUGUAAUUAAUUUUUUUCAAAAACAUAUUCUAACUCGUAAAAUGUGUCUAUCUUUCUCAUCUAUGUCAUGAUAUCAUAUAAAGGAUUUAAGUAAUUGUCCUGAUUAUUUACACUGGAAGACCAAUAGAUUUAGCUAUCCCCAGAUUGUUCCACAAAUAGUCAAGGAAUCCUUACCUUAGAUCUUGAGCUGAAAAGAUGGAGGGUGUAGUUUUAUAAUAGAAUUUUGGUGAUUUGAUGAGUGAAAUGGUAGAAAAAGUUGAGACUAUAGGAUUAUCACUUUAUUCCUAUACAGUUUCAUUCUCAUGGUUGUUGGACCAUCAGAACUAUUGCUAGUCACUUCAGUCUAACCUCUACUCUAAGUAGAUGGUGAAGUAUUGGAGCUAGCUUUUUGUUUUUUUUAAAUAAAGACAACUCUCCCCCCUAUUUAUAGCACCCGUUCAGUUGAGGAAAAGUACUCCUUCAUUUGCCAUGAAUCAAUAUUAAUGAGAAGCUUGACCAGAGGGACAGCUUCUUGCCUGAAGACUUUCUUUUGUUGUGUAUUUGCCUAUUUGCUCAUCCAGUCUCAAAAUGGUGUUGGUUCAAGGUGCUGAAUUAUGCUUUAAAUAGAAUAGACUCCUCCUUCUCUCAGAGAUUGCUCUUAUCUCUCAUCUUUACUCUUUGAAAUUUUGGGGUAUUACUGGGAUUCUAUAGGAUUUUAGCCAAUUCUGCAAUAUUGAGCUUCUCUAUUGACAAAGAAACAUUUUAAUUGCCCUUUGGUGACAUCCUUCAAACUGGAUCGAUUUAUACGAUAUUUAGUAGAAAUGACUAAAAUUUUACUCUAUCUAGUUUUUCCUAGUAACACAGCUAUUAAGAUGUUAAUUCUUUGCUCUUGCUAAAAUAAGGAACUAAAGAUAAUGAAUAUGUAAAUGUUUCCAUCUCCACUUCCUAGAAGGAGAGUCAGACUUUUGGUUCUUGGACUCCCAAGAGUAAUUAAGAACAUCUUCAUGUAUUUGGAGACAUCCUGAAGCCAGCACCACUGAGGCUUUUGUUUGAGAUGCAUGGGCCCUCAAAGGAAGGAGCCAGAAAAGGAUGAGUCUGAAAGGAAAGGGUGGUGCAACCUAUGAACAAAGUUGGUUUUCUGGGGCCUUGGUGGGGUGUGAAUUUGUGGAUCCCAUAAAUAAAAGGCAUAUGCACAGGGCUUGUGUGCGGUUUCUCAGGACAUACAGUAUCUGAAAUGGGGAUGGCUGGCUGCAGGUGUGCCAAAGGAAGCGGGACCCUGGGCAUGAGGGCACAAAGGCAUCUGAGCCACACCAAGGCCUCCAUGCCCAAUUCAGCAGAUAAAAAUAAACCAAACACUUUAAAAAGGAUCGUGUGAGUCAUGAGGAAGGAGCAUAGGAUUUAAAUUGCUCUGAGGGAAUCUUUCCAAGGGACUUUGGUAAAUCUGAACACAGUGGUAGUCAAUCUGAGGAAGCAUGACCAGAACCUCCUUAGAGCAGCUUAAGAAAACUGGAUAAUUUUUAAAAGUUGUAAUUGCUUUUGUUACACAAUUAUUCAUUACAGAAAGAAAAAGAGAAAACAAAUGAAAAAGGAAAGGAAGGAAGGGAGAAAGGGAAGGAGGGAGGGAGGCAGGAAGGACGGGAAGGAAGGAAGGCAAAGAAAGAAGAAAUCAGAUCCACUCUCUCAGUUGCCUCCUUAGGUUUAAGCAUUGCUCUCAGGUUGGUAACUAGUCUCUCUCUUUUUCUCUCUCUCUCAUCUAUGUGCUCUUUUCUAGAAAUAAAUGAUCCUACUAGAAAGAAAUUAUCUUGUGUGGUAAUUUGCAUAACUGGCUUCAUUAUACACACACACACAUUUUAUAACACACAUUUUAUAUAUAUCAACUUAAAAAAUAAAUUUUACAAUAUGUAUCAAAACUUUCCACAUCUUGAUUUACCUUAUCCAUUUCAACUGCUAAAUGGUAAUAAUAAUUAUCACUGGCAAUGGUUAAGGGCUUUACAGGUUCCAGACACUGUUCUCAGUACUUUACUAUAAGCUUGCUCAAUUCUCACAAUGACCAUUCGAGGAAUGAGAACACUGAAUCACAGAGUAUUUGAAUAAGCUGCCCAAGGUCAAAAUUGUCCCAAAUUCCCAGCUAGUCUACCUCCAGAACCUGUGAGCUGAAACACCGCAUUAUAAUGCACCAGAUUCCAUUGUAGGAUGUACCAACAUUGAUUUAAUCAUUCACGGCUGAUACACAGUUAGACUUUUAUGAUUUGCUAUUAUAAACAGCGGUAAUGAAGUUAUUGGCAACUUAAAAAUCUACUGGACUAUGAGAUAUGAUGGGCCAGCUUCCAUAGAUGAUUAAUUCUUUUCAUAAAACCAAAGGUAAUGAAUGUUCAGAUUUACUUAGCUUUCAGAAAAAUCAUGACUUUUCUCAUAAACUGUGGUAAUUAACUAUAUGACAAACUCCCUAUAAUUAAGGGAUAAAUCGCUGGCAUAAAAAUAAAGAAUGCUGGCAUGCUGUAAUUACUCUGUAGCUUACAGUUUAUCAAACAUGUACUUUGAACAUAAGAGGUUAUAUAAGUACACAACUUCUAAAGGAAAGAAACCCUUUGCCUUCCCCGCACAAAAUGACAAGCAGAAAACGACAGCUUGGCGUAACAGUGCUUAAACGACUGGCGUGCCUGCAGUUGGAACUUUAAUACUGGACUCCCUUUCUCUCCUCAGAGGGCCAGCUUUAAGAACCUAAUGCCACCCUCCAACUAUCAAUUCCUAAGAUCAAACUAUUGGGAAGAAUUUUGCAUUCACUUGUUUCCCAUCGUGAGCUAUGAUGAAAAGCAAUAUAUUUACUCCAAGUACUCCUUAUCAUAAAAGAAAGAGAAACAUUGUGGGCUUCCUUAAGUGAUGGCCUUCCUCCCUUUCCAGCUAAUGAGCACAAAUACAUGUCGUCUUAGCAGCAGAGCUCCACAGGGAAGCCUGAGAUGUGUCCCCAGCACCUUGAUUCAUGGUCUUCCUGUGUGUGAUCUGUGUGUCGCAGGAGUAGACCCUGCCCUGUGCACACAGCAUUCUGCCUGCAAACGGGGAAUAGAGUGGGAAGCAGAGUCGGAGCUCAGCAAGGCAUGUGACAGUGCACUUCGGUGGGCAAAGGGGAGAACCGAAUCAGAUUCAAAUCAUCUUUGUUCCCUAACUACCACCAAGGUAAAAACAGAGCACGUGAGUUUGUCAUAAACAAACAAAAACUGAAUGAAAGAAGUUAAUAAACACGGAUAUCUUGAAAUCCAUAGAUUCUAGUAGAAUAUUUUUGCUUUCAUAUUUUAAAAAUCACUAUAAAUGAAAAUCAAUUUGCAUAAAUUCAACAACAGGAAUUAUAUAUAUAUACAUAUGUAUAUAAUAUACACUGUAUAUAUAGAAGGAUGUAAUGGUGUAUCAGAAUAUUUGGCAAUGCUAGAAGGCCACUAAAGAAUCCUGAUACAAAUAAAUAUGUUAAACAGAAGAUAGUAAUUAAUGUUCAAGUUAACUUCCGAGGUAUAUAAAAUGAACACUAAUUGCUACCCAGACCAUUGUCUUCCAAAUAUGUCUAAUAUUUCUUCCUAAAUUCUGCUGCUUUCUAUCUUUAUUUCUUGAGCUAAAAAAGAUCUAAUUUUGUACAAUACCUGUAUCUUGAAAUGUCACACUGUAUAGAUUUGUUGCUCAUCAAUGAUGUGGACUUUUACAAACUGCUUAACUAGUUGGGAGUUCAGUUUCCGUAACUCUACAAUGGAGACAUUUAUUGUCAUAUGGCAUCAGCUAAGCCACUGUGCCAAAGAGAUGAAGGCAAUCCAAUGGUUCAGAAAGGAAAGAAGUUUAUUUCUUUUUCAGAACCACCUAGAGGGUGUAUGUGGACUGUUUCAUGAGCUCAGCCAGGAACCUACACUGUCAAAAUGCAUCGGUCAUUUAAAAAAGUUAAAGAUUACUUCCAGUCACUACCUUUUCCACUUGAUGAGAAGAGGGAGAAGAGACAGAGACAAGAAUCUUCAAGUGACGAACCAGAGGUUGUGCUUACCACUUCUGCUUACAUUCCAUUGUUCUAAACUUAGCUGCACGGUCACGUCUGACUGCAAUGGUAGCUGGGAAAUACAGACUAUGGCUGGGCAGUGGUGGAUGUAGCUAAAAUUGGAUUGGGGAAUUCAGUUACUAAAAGAAAGAAGGGGAGAAGGUCUUCUUUGGACUAUUAGCAUUUGCCACUAUAAUGACACCCAGCUUUAAAAUUGUUGUAAGGUUUGACAAUAAAUUUCAUAUAUUAAAAAAAAAAAUUUAUCAAAAAAAAUAAAAAAAUAAAAUUGUUGUAAGGAAUGAAGUUGUAUUUGCAGAGCAUAGGAGUAUAUUUGUUGAAUUUACAUAAGCAAUCUGCAUCAUAGUACCUGACACAUGAUGAAUGAUAAUUAAACCGUAAUUAUUAUUAUUAUUAUUAUUAUUAUAAUGAUGAUCUAGAACCUCUAUCCUCACUGUGAUGCUUGAAUUCCCUCCAUAGUACAAUGGACAAGUGAUUAUUUAACUGUUCUUGGAUCCUUAUCAUAAAAGGAAAUUUCGUUGCUCUUAAGGAAGCCAUUCCAUUUUUAGAAAGUUUUUCCUUCUUUCUUGACAUUAUUUGUCUUCUUACACUUUCUUUUCUUUCAACCUAAUUGUGACCUCUGAGGCCCCAGCAGAACAAAUCACAUCCCUCUGCCAUACGGUAGUCCUUCAGAUAUAUAUGGAAAGUUACUGCGUCUUCCAUGAGUUCUCUUUUUCUCUAAUCAUGUUCUGUUCCUUCCACAGGCUUUCAUAAUCCAUGACUUUGAGUCCACGCACCACCAUCUUGGGCACAUUCAUUUGCUCAUUUAACAAAUAUUUGAGUACCGACUACUCUAUUUUAUGAUGCCCACCUUAAAACUAUGCCACCAAGGGAAGUAUUCAGUAUUCCAAGUUAGUCUGAGCACAGCAAACUAUUAAUGCUCUCAUUCAGGAUAUUAUCUUCCCUAAAUGGAACGUAAGAUCGUAUAACUUGGCAGCAAUAACAUGCGGUUGACACAUGCUGAAUGGUAACCUACAAUACCCUCUGAGCCUGUUUUUGUUUGUGCAGCUAACCUAGAUGUACCCUACCCUACAUGAACUUCUUUUUAAAUCCAAAUACAAAACAUGUGCUUUAUUUCUAGUUGUUAAUUGCAUCUAGUCUCUCUUUUAUUCUCUCAACUGAUGUAUUAAUUAUCCCUCGCUGAUUGACACCAUCGAAGCUCCUGAUUAGCAUGUAAUUGAUCUCUUCAUCUAAUGUAUUGAUCAAAAUGUGGAGAUGGACAGGGAUGAGGAUACUUUUAGUAACCCUUGGAGCAAUCUUUUAACCAAUUACAAAUGUACAUAACUGCAUCCUCAUUUAAGAAAUAUUACCCUCUCUAGUUCACAAGAUUAGUCUCAAGAAAAAGUCUCAAGAAAAAUUUUUGUUAACUAUUUGGCUUCUGUGUUCAUUGUCAUGUCUAAUGAAGCCUUGACGUGCCAUUCAAAGAGCAGCCUGGUCUGGCUCCAUCCUUCCCAAUCUUUCCUUCAGUACCUCCCUGAUUAGGAAGGUCCUGAUCGGUGUUUUCCUGUCAUUAGACCUUACUAUAAUGAGACCAGACCUUUCUAUAAUGAGAUUCAACGAAAUUCAUUGAGCACUGUUACGUCCUAGGCAUUAUACUAAGAAGUUUCUCACAUAAAUAGAGCCUGGAAAGAAUGAAAUAUAUUAAAAAAUACAUGUAUUCUCAAAUAAAAAUAUCUUGUAAUUUCCCCCUGUAUGAGACCAUUGCACAAUGUUCCUUAUCUCAAAGUUAUGGCAAAGUACAGAACAUAUUCCAUGUAUACUCAGCUCUUAGCAUGUGGUAUUCAAAGAAAUAUUUUCAAUGUGAUAUGCAUUCUUCUAAGAUGAUGUCUUCAGUGACUAAACUCUUGCUAAAUACCACAUUAGACUCUAAAUUUGUUUCAGUAAAUCAAAAAUGUGCAGGAACUUGCAGGAAUGAUUAUUCAUUUGCUCUAGAUAACAAUCACAUUUGAGAAUUUAAAUUAUGAAUCACCUGUACAGAUGUUACCUUUUCCAAAGGA